rnacentral:rRNA from 1 species
ACUGAACGCUGGCGGCAUGCUUUACACAUGCAAGUCGAACGGUAACAGGCCUUCGGGUGCUGACGAGUGGCGCACGGGUGAGUAAUGCAUCGGAACGUACCCAGAGGUGGGGGAUAACGCAGCGAAAGCUGUGCUAAUACCGCAUGUGAUCUGAGGAUGACAGCGGGGGACCGAGCAGCAAUGUUUGGCCUCGCGCCUUUGGAGCGGCCGAUGUCGGAUUAGCUAGUUGGUGGGGUAAAGGCCUACCAAGGCGACGAUCCGUAGCUGGUCUGAGAGGACGACCAGCCACACUGGGACUGAGACACGGCCCAGACUCCUACGGGAGGCAGCAGUGGGGAAUUUUGGACAAUGGGCGCAAGCCUGAUCCAGCAAUGCCGCGUGCGGGAAGAAGGCCUUCGGGUUGUAAACCGCUUUUGGCAGGAACGAAACGGUGUCCGCUAAUACCGGGCGCUAAUGACGGUACCUGCAGAAUAAGCACCGGUUAACUACGUG